GAACGGGUGAGUAAUGCUUCGGAAUCUGCCUAUUAGUGGGGGACAACUUUCCGAAAGGUAUGCUAAUACCGCAUACGCCCUGAGGUGGAAAGCAGGGGAUCUUCGGACCUUGCGCUAUUGGAUGAGCCUAUGUCAGAUUAGCUAGUUGGUGGGGUAAAGGCCUACCAAGGCGACGAUCUGUAGCGGGUCUGAGAGGAUGAUCCGCCACACUGGAACUGAGACACGGUCCAGACUCCUACGGGAGGCAGCAGUGGGGAAUUUUGGACAAUGGGCGAAAGCCUGAUCCAGCCAUGCCGCGUGAGUGAAGAAGGCCUUUGGGUUGUAAAGCUCUUUCGGCCAGGGAAGAAGACUACUGKGGAUUAAUACUCGCCAUGAAUGGACGUUACUCGACUAAAAAGCCCCCGGCUAACUUCGAGCCAGCAGCCGCGGUAAUACGUAGGGKGCGAGCGUUAAUCCGAAUUUACUGGGCGUAAAGCGUGGCGCAGGCGUUUGCUAAGACAGGUGUGAAAUCCCCGGGCUUAACCUGGGAACUGCGCUUGUGACUGCCAGGCUAGAGUACGCAGAGGGGGGUGGAAUUCCACGUGUACCAGUGAAAUGCGUAGAGAUGUGGAGAAACACCGAUGGCGAAGGCAGCCCCCUGGGCCUGUACUGACGCUCAUGCAGGAAAGCGUGGGGAGCAACCAGGAUUAGAUACCCUGGUAGUCCACGCCUUAAACGAUGUCAAUUAUUCGUUGGGAGCGGUAACCCACUGAGUGACGCAGUUAACGCGUGAAKUUGACCGCCUGGGGAGUACGGCCCCAAGGUUAAAMUUCAAAGGAAUUGACGGGGACCCGCCCAAGCGGUGGAUGAUGUGGAUUAAUUGGAUGCAACGCGAAAACCCUUACUUACCCUUGCCAU
rnacentral:rRNA from 1 species